AGAGGAGGGAAGAAAACACAGCAACUCUUCAAGGGAGGAGAGAGAGAGAUGGGUACGUUGCAGAGAGAGGGAAAGAGAAGAGAGGAGGAGAUACACGGAGUAGCACGCCAAGGAUCUGCAGGAUGUGGUGUGUAAUGGUCCAGUGCUAGAGGACCAAGAGGAAGGAGGUGCAGGAUUAGAAUUCUGCUCAGCAAGGGGACGGUUAUUGAUUGCAGGUUGGCCAGAGGGCCCUACUUGGGUCUAUUGAUCCUGAGAGGAGGAUUGAGGGCUGCCAGGAACAACACACUUUCUCACAGUAACGGGAGUCAAAGGCAGGUUCCGCCUGUCCAUUUCCAUUUCAAACAGCCCCCAUGCAUUCUGAAUUACGAGAGGGCUAGAAAGAAGACAAAGACAGCGUUUAAGGGACAAUUGACCUUUGUGAAAAAUAAUGGGAUGCAGUUUGAGGAGAGAGAGAAUAUCUUUUAAAAUAUCAAACUAUAUUUUCCUGAGGAUAUCAUUGGUUAAAUGAUUGCACUGAUUAAAUGA